CCUACGGGAGGCAGCAGUGAGGAAUAUUGGUCAAUGGACGAGAGUCUGAACCAGCCAAGUAGCGUGAAGGAUGACUGCCCUAUGGUUUGUAAACUUCUUUUAUAUGGGAAUAAAAUGUUCCACGUGUGGGAUUUUGUAUGUACCAUAUGAAUAAGGAUCGGCUAACUCCGGGCCCGCAGCCGCGGUACUACGGAGGAUCCGAGCGUUAUCCGGAGUUAUUGGGUUUAAAGGGAGCGUAGGGGGAUUGUUAAGUCAGUUGUGAAAGUUUGCGGCUUAACCGUAAAAUUGCAGUUGAAACUGGCAGUCUUGAGUACAGUAGAGGUGGGCGGAAUUCGUGGUGUAGCGGUGAAAUGCUUAGAUAUCACGAAGAACUCCGAUUGCGAAGGCAGUUCACUGGACUGCAACUGACACUGAGGCUCGAAAGUGUGGGUAUCAAACAGGAUUAGAUACCCUGGUAGUC
rnacentral:rRNA from 1 species